rnacentral:rRNA from 1 species
UACGGAGGGUGCAAACGUUGCUCGGAAUUAUUGGGCGUAAAGCGCACGUAGGCGGUCCAGCAAGUCGGGUGUGAAAGCCCUCGGCUUAAACCGAGGAAGUGCAUUCGAAACUACUGGACUUGAAUACUGAAGAGGAUCGCGGAAUUCCCGGUGUAGAGGUGAAAUUCGUAGAUAUUGGGAAGAACACCGGUGGCGAAGGCGGCGACCUGGUCCUUGACUGACGCUGAGGCGCGAAAGCGUGGGGAGCAAACAGG